rnacentral:tRNA from 1 species
GCCCGGGUGGUGAAAUUGGUAGACGCACCAGACUCAAAAUCUGGCGGGGGCAACCCCGUGCCGGUUCGAUUCCGGCUCCGGGCACCA